ACGCUCGACACCUACGGGACGCAGCAGUGAGGAAUAUUGGUCAAUGGGCGCUAGCCUGAACCAGCCAAGUAGCGUGAAGGAUGAAGGCUCUAUGGGUCGUAAACUUCUUUUAUAUAAGAAUAAAGUGCAGUAUGUAUACUGUUUUGUAUGUAUUAUAUGAAUAAGGAUCGGCUAACUCCGUGUCAGCAGCCGCGGUAAUCUGAGCGGGCUGGCAAGGC
rnacentral:rRNA from 1 species